AUACGUAGGUCCCGAACGUUGCGCGAAAUUACUGGGCGUAAAGGGUCCGUAGGCGGUCUGGUAAGUGGAAGGUGAAAGCCUGGGGCUCAACUCCAGAAUUGCCUUCCAAACUGCCGGACUUGAGGCAGUGAGAGGUCGGCGGAAUUCCCGGUGUAGUGGUGAAAUGCGUAGAUAUCGGGAGGAACACCAGUGGCGAAGGCGGCCGACUGGAACUGUCCUGACGCUGAGGGACGAAAGCCAGGGGAGCGAACCGGAUUAGAUACCCUAGUAGUCC
rnacentral:rRNA from 1 species